rnacentral:rRNA from 1 species
GAUGAACGCUGGCGGCGUGCCUAAUACAUGCAAGUCGAGCGAACGGACGAGAAGCUUGCUUCUCUGAUGUUAGCGGCGGACGGGUGAGUAACACGUGGAUAACCUACCUAUAAGACUGGGAUAACUUCGGGAAACCGUAGCUAAUACCGGAUAAUAUUUUGAACCGCAUGGUUCAAAAGUGAAAGACGGUCUUGCUGUCACUUAUAGAUGGAUCCGCGCUGCAUUAGCUAGUUGGUAAGGUAACGGCUUACCAAGGCAACGAUGCAUAGCCGACCUGAGAGGGUGAUCGGCCACACUGGAACUGAGACACGGUCCAGACUCCUACGGGAGGCAGCAGUAGGGAAUCUUCCGCAAUGGGCGAAAGCCUGACGGAGCAACGCCGCGUGAGUGAUGAAGGUCUUCGGAUCGUANAACUCUGUUAUUAGGGAAGAACAUAUGUGUAAGUAACUGUGCACAUCUUGACGGUACCUAAUCAGAAAGCCACGGCUAACUACGUGCCAGCAGCCGCGGUAAUACGUAGGUGGCAAGCGUUAUCCGGAAUUAUUGGGCGUAAAGCGCGCGUAGGCGGUUUUUUAGUCUGAUGUGAAAGCCCACGGCUCAACCGUGGAGGGUCAUUGGAAACUGGAAAACUUGAGUGCAGAAGAGGAAAGUGGAAUUCCAUGUGUAGCGGUGAAAUGCGCAGAGAUAUGGAGGAACACCAGUGGCGAAGGCGACUUUCUGGUCUGUAACUGACGCUGAUGUGCGAAAGCGUGGGGAUCAAACAGGAUUAGAUACCCUGGUAGUCCACGCCGUAAACGAUGAGUGCUAAGUGUUAGGGGGUUUCCGCCCCUUAGUGCUGCAGCUAACGCAUUAAGCACUCCGCCUGGGGAGUACGACCGCAAGGUUGAAACUCAAAGGAAUUGACGGGGACCCGCACAAGCGGUGGAGCAUGUGGUUUAAUUCGAAGCAACGCGAAGAACCUUACCAAAUCUUGACAUCCUUUGACAACUCUAGAGAUAGAGCCUUCCCCUUCGGGGGACAAAGUGACAGGUGGUGCAUGGUUGUCGUCAGCUCGUGUCGUGAGAUGUUGGGUUAAGUCCCGCAACGAGCGCAACCCUUAAGCUUAGUUGCCAUCAUUAAGUUGGGCACUCUAAGUUGACUGCCGGUGACAAACCGGAGGAAGGUGGGGAUGACGUCAAAUCAUCAUGCCCCUUAUGAUUUGGGCUACACACGUGCUACAAUGGACAAUACAAAGGGCAGCGAAACCGCGAGGUCAAGCAAAUCCCAUAAAGUUGUUCUCAGUUCGGAUUGUAGUCUGCAACUCGACUACAUGAAGCUGGAAUCACUAGUAAUCGUAGAUCAGCAUGCUACGGUGAAUACGUUCCCGGGUCU